AGGAUUCAUGUAGGUGACCUGCGGAAGGAUCAUUA
rnacentral:rRNA from 1 species